GACGAACGCUGGCGGCGUGCUUAACACAUGCAAGUCGAACGGACAGGCCCUGCUUUUGUGGGGUGCUUGAGUGGCGAACGGGUGAGUAACACGUGAGUAACCUGCCCCUGAAUUUGGGAUAUCUUUAGGAAACAGGGGCUAAUACCGGAUAGGAGCUCUUGCUGCACGGUGGGGGUUGGUAAGAUUCGGCGGUUUGGGCUGGACUAGCGGCUUAUCAGCUUGUUGGUGGGGUAGUGGCUUACAAAGGCUGCGACGGUUAGCCGGCCUGGGAGGGUGACCGGCCACAUUAGGACUGAGGGACGGCCCAGACGCCUACCUGAGGCAGCAGUGGAGAGUAUUGCGCAGUAGCCGGAAGCCUGUUGCAGCAACGCCGCGUGCGGAAUAACGGCCUACGAGGUGUAAACCGCUGUCUCCGGUGACGAAGCGUGAGUGACGGUAAUGAGUAAGAAAGCACCGGCUAACUACGUG
rnacentral:rRNA from 1 species